UCCGUAGGCGGUGUGGCAAGUCGGUAGUGAAAUCUCUCGGCUUAACUGAGAGGCUGCUGCCGAAACUGCCAUGCUCGAGUGCGAGAGAGGCGAGUGGAAUUGCGGGUGUAGCGGUGAAAUGCGUAGAUAUCCGCAGGAACAUCCGAGGCGAAAGCGGCUCGCUGGAUCGCAACUGACGCUGAGGGACGAAAGCUAGGGGAGCAAACAGGAUUAGAUACCCUGGUAGUCCUAGCCCUAAACGAUGGAUGCUUGGUGUAGCCGGUACCCAAUCCGGCUGUGCCGCAGCUAACGCGUUAAGCAUCCCGCCUGGGGAGUACGGUCGCAAGGCUAGAA
rnacentral:rRNA from 1 species